CCCUACGGGGCGCAGCAGUGGGGGAUAUUGGACAAUGGGGGGAACCCUGAUCCAGCGACGCCGCGUGAGUGAAGAAGUAUUUCGGUAUGUAAAGCUCUGUCAGCAGGGAAGAAAGCAAUGACGGUACCUGACCAAGAAGCCCCGGCUAACUACGUGCCAGCAGCCGCGGUAAUACGUAGGGGGCAAGCGUUAUCCGGAUUUACUGGGUGUAAAGGGAGCGUAGACGGCGUGCCAAGUCUGAUGUGAAAGGCCGGGGCUCAACCCCGGGACUGCAUUGGAAACUGGCAUGCUGGAGUGCCGGAGGG
rnacentral:rRNA from 1 species